rfam:Scytonema tolypothrichoides VB-61278 scaffold_99, whole genome shotgun sequence.
GCUAUGGGGAUUGCGGUCUCCCCACGAGGCGACAGCCGAAGCAUCGCGUCCCACGCUCAUCUCCGGCCACCCGUGAGGACGCACGUCCAUG